CGCCGCGGCGCGCCUUCGCCGAUCCGUACCGGAAUGCAAGAAGCGUACUGCGCCUGCGCAGAGCGGCGUUCUCGGCGCGUGCGCAGAAGAGGCCGGCGAUGCUCUGCUCUCCGGUUUCGAUGAAGCGCGCGCGGGAAGAGAGCAGACGGCUACCGGCCGGCAGUGGGUACGGGCCAUGCGUGUAGUGUUUCGCAUUUACUGCCAUUUUUGGUGAAACGACGUGGGGCCGAUCAGGCUCCCUGCAAGCGGCAAUCUGUUUCGAGCGUCGACGAUUCUGUGCUCACUGAACAAAGAACAGGAACGUUCUGCAACCCGCCAUACCUGAGGGACAAGCGUACUGCGAUACGCGGGUGUGGUAUAAGUGCAAGCUACGAUAAUGACACGCUGCGGCCGAUCACACCGCGUUACGAAUAAACAUGCUUGCUUGUCUUUUUAUUUUCCCAUG